UAAUACCGGCAGUUCAAGUCGCAGCCACAUUUAUUGGGUCUAAAACAUCUGUAGCUUGCUUUGCAAGUCUUUUGUGAAAUUCUGUAUCUCAAAUACAGAGCGAGCAGAAGAUACUGCAUCGCUAGGGACCGGAAGACGUAAGGAGAACAUAUAGGGUAUCGGUAAAAUGAGUUGAUCCUAUAUGGACUAACGAUAGCGAAGGCACCUUACGAGUACGGAUCUGACAGUCAGAGAUGAAGGCUAGGGUCGCGAAACGGAUUAGAUACCCGUGUAGUCCUAGCAGUAAACACUGCACACUAAACAUCGGCAUCUCUUCGAGAGGAGUCGGUGCUGUAGGGAAGCCGUAGAGUGUGCUACCUGGGAAGUAUAGUCGCAAGGCCG
rnacentral:rRNA from 1 species